UGGGGAAUCUUCCGCAAUGGACGAAAGUCUGACGGAGCAACGCCGCGUGAGUGAAGACGGCCUUCGGGUUGUAAAGCUCUGUGAUCCGGGACGAAAGAGCCUGAGGUAAAUAGCCUAAGGAAGUGACGGUACCGGAAAAGCAAGCCACGGCUAACUACGUGCCAGCAGCCGCGGUAAUACGUAGGUGGCAAGCGUUGUCCGGAAUUAUUGGGCGUAAAGCGCGCGCAGGCGGCUUCCUAAGUCCAUCUUAAAAGUGCGGGGCUUAACCCCGUGAUGGGAUGGAAACUGGGAAGCUUGAGUAUCGGAGAGGAAAGUGGAAUUCCUAGUGUAGCGGUGAAAUGCGUAGAGAUUAGGAAGAACACCGGUGGCGAAGGCGACUUUCUGGACGAAAACUGACGCUGAGGCGCGAAAGCGUGGGGAGCAAACAGG
rnacentral:rRNA from 1 species